UUCGGAGUGUAAACCACUGUCAGGGGUUACCAAGUUCUGAGGAACCCCAGAGGAAGGCACGGCUAACUCUGUGCCAGCAGCCGCGGUAAGACAGAGGUGCCAAGCGUUAGGCGGAAUCACUGGGCUUAAAGCGUGUGUAGGCGGAAUUGUAAGUACCUUGUGAAAUCCCACAGCUCAACUGUGGAACUGCUCGGUAUACUGCUUUUCUUGAGCCACUUAGGGGCUGUCGGAACAAAUGGUGGAGCGGUGAAAUGCGUAGAUAUCAUUUGGAACGCCAACGGUGAAAACAGACAGCUGGGAGUGUGCUGACGCUGAGAUACGAAAGCCAGGGGAGCGAACGGGAUUAGAUACCCCGGUAGUCCUGGCCCUAAACGAUGUCGACUAGAUCGUAGUAGCUCUGACGUUAUUACGGUCGAAGCAAAAGUGCUAAGUCGACCGCCUGGGAAGUACGGUCGCAAGGCUAAAACUCAAAUGAAUUGACGGA
rnacentral:rRNA from 1 species